rnacentral:rRNA from 1 species
GGCCUCAUACAUGCAAGUCGAACGCCCCUUCGGGGGAGUGGCAGACGAGUGAGUAACACGUGGGAACCUACCCAGAGGUUCGGAAUAACUCAGGGAAACUUGAGCUAAUACCGGAUAAGCCUUGCGAGGGAAAGAUUUAUCGCCUUUGGAUGGGCCCGCGGCAGAUUAGUUUGUUGGUGGGGUAAUGGCCUACCAAGACUACGAUCUGUAGCUGGUUUGAGAGGAUGAUCAGCCACACUGGGACUGAGACACGGCCCAGACUCCUACGGGAGGCAGCAGUAGGGAAUCUUGCGCAAUGGGCGAAAGCCUGAUGCAGCCAUGCCGCGUGAGUGAAGAAGGCUCUAGGGUUGUAAAACUCUUUCAGCGGGGAAGAUAAUGACGGUACCCGCAGAAGAAGCCCCGGCUAACUCCGUGCCAGCAGCCGCGGUAAUACGGAGGGGGCUAGCGUUGUUCGGAAUUACUGGGCGUAAAGCGCGCGUAGGCGGAUUAGUAAGUCAGUGGUGAAAGCCCGGGGCUCAACCUCGGAACUGCCUUUGAUACUGCUAGUCUUGAGUUCGAGAGAGGUGAGUGGAAUUUCUAG